ensembl:lncRNA
GUCCAGUGCUUGUCUCACACGCCCGGCUUGAGGGACUACUGCCUCCUCAAGACGUUCAGACAGGAGAAGAGCUCCAAGGAAGAGGCUAAACUCAUGGAAGCGUUCUCUCGGGUGCUGGCGGGCCUUUGGGACGUGGACGGGGAGGACACAGAGGUCAAUCCACGACAGUUUUACUCGAUCUUCAAAGAAACAGUGCCUUACUUUAGCGGCUACAGUCAGCAGGACGCCCAGGAGUUCCUGCGGUUCCUAUUGGACAGACUACACACUGAGGUCAACAGACGUGUGUGUGUGCGACGAACAGGCAAGGAGCCUGUACAAAAAUAUGC